AUUGAACGCUGGCGGCAGGCCUAACACAUGCAAGUCGAACGAGUGGCGGACGGGUGAGUAAUGUCUGGGAAACUGCCUGAUGGAGGGGAUAACCUACGGAAACGGUUGGCAAUAACGCAUUGCAUCCGAUUGGCCCCGAUGGGGUUAGCUAGUUGGUGGGGUAACGGCUCACCUAGGCGACGAGCCCUAGCUGGUCUGAGAGGAUGACCAGCCACACUGGAACUGAGACACGGUCCAGACUCCUACGGGAGGCAGCAGUGGGGAAUAUUGCACAAUGGGCGCAAGCCUGAUGCAGCCAUGCCGCGUGUGUGAAGAAGGCCUUCGGGUUGUAAAGCACUUUCAGCGGGGAGGCGUUACCCGCAGAAGAAGCACCGGCUAACUCCGUGCCAGCGGCGGGGGUAAUA
rnacentral:rRNA from 1 species